AAAAAAAAAAAAAAAAAACCUUCGUCAGCUAGGCUUGAGAAGAGUUGCUUCAUAAAAAUGGUGUUGCAAAUGUUUGUGUUGUACGAAAUGAGAUAUAUUUUUCAUGCAAAAUCUGUGCAUGUUCCACAAGGAAGCUUCAUGAUCUAGAAUAUAAGAUGAUGUGCUUAUUUGCCAUUUAUUUGCAUUUUCAGAAGAUGUUUUGAAGUUGACAUGCAAGAAAAUGUUCUUGCUUGAAGAAGAUCAAACACCUAUUAUAAUGUCAGAGAAAUCAGUAACAUGAUACAUACAUAUUUCAUGUUUUUAUAAUGUUGUAUGCUGUUCGAUUUUAUUGUGGCCACCAGUGCAUGAUAUAUUUGCGUAAAGGUUUUUUUACUUGCCAUUGGCCAACAUUGAAAAAUUAGAGAGUAAAGACAUAUCUAUUGUUGUUUAGAAUCCAAAAGUUUGCUUGUUUCCUUCCAUUUUUUCAUCUUUUCCUGCCUUCUGCAGUCUAGAAACAAGUUUGGGAUGACAUGGGGAAAUGGAUCUGAAGUGAAUUUCUGCAUUUACAUUGGAAUCAAUGUGAAUUUUGAUUAAAAUAGAAUUACAAUUUUUUGUUGGGUACUUUGUGGUUCUGAGUUUAACAUGAGAUGCUAACUGAUUUUUCACCAUUGAAAUGUUCUGGUGGUUGUAGCUUAAGAAAAUUUGCAUACGACUCUUUUCAUCUUACACUCAAUUUCUCUUCUCAGGAUAUGUAUGACUUCAU
rnacentral:misc_RNA from 1 species